ACGGAAGGCAGCAGUGGGGAAUAUUGCACAAUGGGGGAAACCCUGAUGCAGCGACGCCGCGUGAAGGAAGAAGUAUCUCGGUAUGUAAACUUCUAUCAGCAGGGAAGAAAAUGACGGUACCUGACUAAGAAGCCCCGGCUAACUACGUGCCAGCAGCCGCGGUAAUACGUAGGGGGCAAGCGUUAUCCGGAUUUACUGGGUGUAAAGGGAGCGUAGACGGCAUCGUAAGUCUGAUGUGAAAGGCAGGGGCUCAACUCCUGGACUGCAUUGGAAACUACGAAGCUUGAGUGCCGGAGAGGUAAGCGGAAUUCCUAGUGUAGCGGUGAAAUGCGUAGAUAUUAGGAGGAACACCAGUGGCGAAGGCGGCUUACUGGACGGUAACUGACGUUGAGGCUCGAAAGCGUGGGGAGCAAACAGGAUUAGAUACCCUGGUA
rnacentral:rRNA from 1 species